AUGGAUCCGGGCGGGACGAUGCUGCUGGAGGACUUCGGGCAGCGGGUGGACCUGACGCACCACAUCCGCGAGGUGCUGGCCAACUACCCGGAGGGCACCACCGUGUUGCGGGAGCUCAUCCAGAACACUAACGACACCGGGGCCUCGCAGGUCCGCCUCUGCCUCGACCGCCACGCCCACGGGGCCCGCUCGCUGCUCGCCCCGGCCCUCGCGCAGUGGCAGGGCCCCGCCCUGCUCGCCCACAACGACGCUGCCUUCACCGACGACGACUUCGCCAGCAUCUCCCGCAUCGGCGGCAGCAAGAAGGCCUCCCAGGCCUGGAAGACCGGCCGCUUCGGGUAUCAAGAUAGGUUCAGUUUGAGUUCCGCACUUGUUAUCAUUUUGCUCGACAAGCUCGUGGUGCUCAAGCUCAACGGAGGCCUCGGCACCACCAUGGGCUGCACCGGCCCCAAGUCUGUCAUUGAAGUUCGCAAUGGGUUUACAUUUCUUGACCUUAUUGUGAUUCAGAUUGAGUCCCUGAACAAGAAGUAUGGAUGCAGUGUUCCUUUGCUUCUAAUGAACUCUUUCAACACUCAUGAUGACACACAGAAGAUUGUUGAGAAGUACUCCAACUCCAACAUUGAAAUUCACACUUUCAACCAGGCCCUGCUUGACAAGCUCGUGGUGCUCAAGCUCAACGGAGGCCUCAGCACCACCAUGGGCUGCACCGGCCCCAAUAUAUAUGUGCUUUCUGAUUUGUUAUUUGCAUCUUGA
rnacentral:rRNA from 1 species